CCUACGGGCGGCAGCAGUGGGGAAUAUUGCACAAUGGGGGGAACCCUGAUGCAGCGACGCCGCGUGAGUGAAGAAGGAUUUCGGGAUGUAAAGCUCUGUCAGCAGGGAAGAAGAAAGACGGUACCUUACCAAAAAGCCCCGGCUAACGACGUACCAGCAGCCGCGGUAAUACGUAGGGGGCAAGCGUUAUUCGGAUUUAAUGGGUGUAAAGGGAGCGUAGACGGUGGUGCAAGUCUGGAGUGAAAGGCAGGGGCCCAACCCCAGGACUGCACUGGAAAAUGUCCGUCUUGAGUGCAGGAGAGGUAAGUGGAAUUCCUAGUGUAGCGGUGAAAUGCGUAGAUAUUAGGAGGAACACCAGUGGCGAAGGCGGCUUACUGGACUGUAACUGACGUUGAGGCGCGAAAGCGUGGGGAGCAAACAGGAUUAGAUACCCGGGUAGUC
rnacentral:rRNA from 1 species